rnacentral:rRNA from 1 species
CCCUUAGAUGUUCUGGGCCGCACGCGCGCUACACUGAUGCAUUCAACGAGUCUAAAACCUGCUCUGAUAGGGGUGGGUAAUCUUUUGAAUGUGCAUCGUGAUUGGGAUAGAUGAUUGCAAUUUUUCAUCUUCAACGAGGAAUGCCUAGUAAACGCAAGUCAUCAGCUUGCAUUGAUUACGUCCCUGCCCUUUGUACACACCGCCCGUCGCUACUACCGAUUGAACGUUUUAGUGAGGCAUUUGGACCGACGCAUCUCAGUUUAACCGCUGGUUUGUGUUGGAAAGACUUCCAAACUUGAGCGUUUAGAGGAAGUAAAAGUCGUAACA